UUCAUUCCAGCUGAAGACUCCAGACCCCGCAGGUGUCACUCUGCUAUAGGUUUGUCUUGUCCCCUUGCUCAAGGGUCCUGAAGCAACUCCUAAUAUUUACCCCACAGGGGGAAUGAGAAAGAAGCAGUCUUAUCCUAGAAUGCUGGAAGAAAUACUCAACAAUAGGGCUACCAUUCCCAGGAGGGCUACAACUCUGUGCUAUGACCCUGGCUCCAGCCUGUAUGCUCUGAUCCCUUU
rnacentral:lncRNA from 10 species